GAAAUGCGAUACGUAGUGUGAAUUGCAGAAUUCAGUGAAUCAUCGAAUCUUUGAACGCACAUUGCGCCCUUUGGUAUUCCAAAGGGCAUGCCUGUUCGAGCGUCAUUUGUACCCUCAAGCUUUGCUUGGUGUUGGGCGUCUUUUGUCUUUGGCCUCACCCAAAGACUCGCCUUAAAACGAUUGGCAGCCGGCCUACUGGUUUCGCAGCGCAGCACAUUUUUGCGCUUGCAAUCAGCACAAGGACGGCAAUCCAUCAAGACUACAUUUUUACGUUUGACCUCGGAUCAGGUAGGGAUACCCGCUGAACUUAAGC
rnacentral:misc_RNA from 1 species